UGUUGAUGAAAUGUGAGCUUGUCAUCAGUUGGUUUCAGUCUUGUCUUUUGCUGGUGAGGGUUCGUAUGUAUAUAAAAUCCUUUAAUCUCUUGAAACUUUCCUGCCAGACGAACUGUUCUUUCACAUCAGUUCGUUCUUUUGAAAUUUAAACAGCCAUGUUUUAGCCAGAUUAACUCAAUUUGAUCACGGUGGUCGAGCAUCUUGCGUUGAUCGCGUGCUGCUACAUUAUUGGCUCUGUCUGAACUGCGAACCACACGGUAACAACCGUUUCUAAUCGAAAAAAAACUUUUCUUUGUGGACAACGAUCCACUUGAAAUACCGAAUGUAAGUUUGUUGCUUUAAACUUAAAAAAGUGUAGAGAGUUGACGUUUGGUGUCUGCUUUUACUUGGCAGCUGUAAGAACCAGAAGUCUUAAUCUAUUACGGCACAAGAAGAAGAAAUCUCGACAACGACUCGAACGUUCUGUGGGCAGGAUUCGAACCUUGGACCUUUUUGAUGGAAGCUGCGUGAGUUGUUCACUUCACUGGGAAUCUCCCAUCAAUAGGAUAAAAUCACG